rnacentral:rRNA from 1 species
GAUGAACGCUGGCGGCGUGCCUAAUACAUGCAAGUCGAGCGAACGGACGGGAAGCUUGCUUCUCUGAUGUUAGCGGCGGACGGGUGAGUAACACGUGGAUAACCUACCUAUAAGACUGGGAUAACUUCGGGAAACCGGAGCUAAUACCGGAUAAUAUUUUGAACCGCAUGGUUCAAAAGUGAAAGACGGUCUUGCUGUCACUUAUAGAUGGAUCCGCGCUGCAUUAGCUAGUUGGUAAGGUAACGGCUUACCAAGGCAACGAUGCAUAGCCGACCUGAGAGAGUGAUCGGCCACACUGGAACUGAGACACGGUCCAGACUCCUACGGGAGGCAGCAGUAGGGAAUCUUCCGCAAUGGGCGAAAGCCUGACGGAGCAACGCCGCGUGAGUGAUGAAGGUCUUCGGAUCGUAAAACUCUGUUAUUAGGGAAGAACAUAUGUGUAAGUAACUGUGCACAUCUUGACGGUACCUAAUCAGAAAGCCACGGCUAACUACGUG